rnacentral:rRNA from 1 species
AAUCAACGCUGGCGGCGUGCCUAACACGUGCAAGUCGAACGCGAAAGUCCCGCAAGGGAUGGAGUAGAGUGGCAAACGGGUGAGUAACGCGUGGGUGACCUGCCCUUCGAGGUGGGGGAUAACGUUCCGAAAGGGACGCUAAUACCGCAUAACAUCCCGCCUUUUAAGAGGUGGACAGUCGAAAAGCCUUGGGACCGGCAAGGCCAGGCGCUUGACGAGGGGCCCGCGUCUGGAUUAGC